rnacentral:rRNA from 1 species
GACGAACGCUGGCGGCGUGCUUAACACAUGCAAGUCGAACGGAAAGGCCCUGCUUUUGUGGGGUGCUCGAGUGGCGAACGGGUGAGUAACACGUGAGUAACCUGCCCUUGACUUUGGGAUAACUUCAGGAAACUGGGGCUAAUAUCGGAUAGGAGCUCCUGCUGCAUGGUGGGGGUUGGAAAGUUUCGGCGGUUGGGGAUGGACUCGCGGCUUAUCAGCUUGUUGGUGGGGUAGUGGCUUACCAAGGCUUUGACGGGUAGCCGGCCUGAGAGGGUGACCGGCCACAUUGGGACUGAGAUACGGCGCAGACUCCUACGGGAGGCAGCAGUGGGGAAUAUUGCACAAUGGGCGGAAGCCUGAUGCAGCAACGCCGCGUGCGGGAUGACGGCCUUCGGGUUGUAAACCGCUUUCGCCGGUGACGAAGCGUGAGUGACGGUAAUGGGUAAAGAAGCACCGGCUAACUACGUG